CUCUGAAUUUUGACCCAAUUGUUAUAAAUUCCAGAUGAACUGAAUAAAACUACUACUUGUAGGCAAACAAUAAAAUUGUACGGGCAUUUGGAGAGAAGAGAGUAGAGGAUAAUUUGAAGAACCACGUGGACCUUUGCAGGAUGCUUGAUAUUGUCGCAUUGGAAAAGGCCAUUGUCUCAGAUAGAUAACCUUCUGCAGACAUCUUAUGAUCAAGGGGACAAAUGAGAUCAUGCCAACUCUACUCCAUGUACUGCUGGUGUCACAGGAUGGGAGAGUGUCGGAUGCUUCUUCAUAUACUAUUUCUUGGUCCGUCAAAUCUGCUUGACCCAAAUGCAAGUUUUGCUCAAAUGUGGCAAAAAUAAUUGUCUCACCAAUUGUCAGCGUGCCUGCUUCCAGCAAAGUUUCAGAGAAGGAAAAGAUGGAAUGUAACUCAAAUUUUGGUGGCCGCACAAGUGUGGAGACUUGAAUUCAUAUAUACUUAGUUAGGCUCAAUAUUAGUGCAAACAGUUGAUAACCAAGUUUUUCAAUUAGUAUUUAGUUUUGGCUUUACAGUACACUUAUGUAUGAGUUAUUUGAAAAUAUUUAUUUAUGAGAUAUUGAAUGGUACUUAUCUAUAUUAUAUUAGUUACGAUGUUAUUAAA